AACCUGAAGAACUCCAAUGCGGGCGGUGGAUUAUUUCUUAUCCGUCCUCCAUCUACCCCACACAAGAGCUGCUUUUUGUUCCUCUUUUCGCCAAGUUCCAAGGAUACAAUGAGAAGACCUGCCAUCUGCAAACCCGGAAGCAAGCCCUCAUCAGACACCAGGUCUGCUGCCACCAUGAUGUUGGAGUUCUCAGCCUCUAGAACUGAGUCUUGAGACUUCUUUUGGUGUGGAUUCUGGAACUCCUUUCUGAAGCAAGACGCAAAUCUCUCUCAGCAGAGAGUGCCAAGACCAAUCACUUAACCAUGGCAAUCUUCCUCGGCAUGUUAAUUCCGACCCUGACGGUCCCAAGAUGGCUGCAGCAGUUUCAGCCAUGUUAUCCUAAUCCACCAACAUCUGGAGGUAUCUAUCUUUUCCAUCUCCAUCUAUUAAAAAUGUAGGAUACUUUUACCAGAAGGUCCUCCUCUAGACUACUAUUCAUGUUUCAUUGGACCAAUUUGGUCCCAUGGAAUUUCUUAAGUCAUUUACUGAUGAGGGAAGUGGAAUUAUCAUGACUGGAUUAGACUACCUAAGAUUCAUCACUCCUGAUCCUGGAGAAAGAUCAUUUUCUCAGAGCAAAUGGCUGCAUAUGACUGAAGAU